rnacentral:rRNA from 1 species
CAGUAGCCGCGGGAAUACGUAGGGUGCGAGCGUUAAUCGGAAUUACUGGGCGUAAAGCGUGCGCAGGCGGUUGUGUAAGACAGGUGUGAAAUCCCCGGGCUUAACCUGGGAACUGCGCUUGUGACUGCACAGCUAGAGUAUGGCAGAGGGGGGUAGAAUUCCACGUGUAGCAGUGAAAUGCGUAGAGAUGUGGAGGAAUACCGAUGGCGAAGGCAGCCCCCUGGGCCAAUACUGACGCUCAUGCACGAAAGCGUGGGGAGCAAACAGGAUUAGAUACCCCCGUAGUCCCUGUCUCUUAUAC